GACGAACGCUGGCGGCGUGCUUAACACAUGCAAGUCGAGCGGUAAGGCCCUUUCGGGGGUACACGAGCGGCGAACGGGUGAGUAACACGUGGGUGACCUGCCCUCAGCUCUGGGAUAAGCCUGGGAAACCGGGCCUAAUACUGGAUAUGACUCCAUGACGCAUGUUGUGGGGUGGAAAGCCUUGUGCGGCUGAGGAUGGGCCCGCGGCCUAUCAGCUUGUUGGUGGGGUGANGGCCUACCAAGGCGACGACGGGUAGCCGGCCUGAGAGGGCGACCGGCCACACUGGGACUGAGACACGGCCCAGACUCCUACGGGAGGCAGCAGUGGGGAAUCUUGCGCAAUGGGCGAAAGCCUGACGCAGCGACGCCGCGUGAGGGAUGACGGCC
rnacentral:rRNA from 1 species